rnacentral:lncRNA from 1 species
GCUUUGCCCUCCUUCCCUGCCCCCUCUUCUAGGGGAGUCAGAUCGAGUUGUAAGGAGAACAUGCCCACUGUCUCGAUGGCUGCAGCGUGCAAUCCAUACAGACGGUGAGGAAGAAAUGGGUUUCCACCCAUGCUGUAGACGAAUGUUUGUGUCCUCCCCAAAUUCCUUUGUCGAAGCUUAACAACCAAUGUGUUUGGUAUUUGGAGAUGGGCCUUUGGUGAGGAUGCAAAGAGAAAGUGGCUGCCUGCAAACCAGGAGGAGAGCCCUCACCAGGAACCAAUCUAGCUGACACUUUGAACUUGGACUUCAAAC